AUGCGCUGUCGGUAUUAUUGGGCGUAACGCGAGCGCAGGCGGUUUUUAAGUCUGAUGUGAAAGCCUUCGUCUCAACCGAAGAAGUGCAUCGGAAACUGGGAAACUUGAGUGCAGAAGAGGACAGUGGAACUCCAUGUGUAGCGGUGAAAUGCGUAGAUAUAUGGAAGAACACCAGUGGCGAAGGCGGCUGUCUGGUCUGUAACUGACGCUGAGGCUCGAAAGUAUGGGUAGCAAACAGGAUUAGAUACCCUGGUAGUCCAUACCGUAAACGAUGAAUGCUAAGUGUUGGAGGGUUUCCGCCCUUCAGUGCUGCAGCUAACGCAUUAAGCAUUCCGCCUGGGGAGUACGGCCGCAAGGUUGAAACUCAAAGGAAUUGACGGGGCCCCCCACAACCCGAAAAAAAUGUGGUUUAUUUCGAAGCUACGCGAAGAACCUUACCAGGUUUUGACAUACUAUGCAAAUCUAAGAGAUUAGACGUCCCCUUCGGGGACAUGGAUACGGGUGGUGCAGGUUGUCGUCAGCUCGGGUCGGGAGAUGUGGGUUAAGUCCCGCAACGAGCGCACCCUUAUUAUCAGUCGCCACAUUAAGGUGGGCACUCUGUGAGACUGCGGUGACAAACGAGAAGGUGGGAUCACGUCAAUCUCAUGCCCUUAUGACCUGGCUACAACGUCUACAUGAUGGUACACGAGUGCAACUCCAAGAUAAGCAAUCUCUAAGCAUUCUCAGUCAGAUGAGUGCACUCGCUACUGAGCCGGAAUGCUAGUAUCGGAUACAUGCGGUAACUCCCCCGGCUAUA
rnacentral:rRNA from 1 species